GCUCGGACCCUAGUGGACAUGGAUUCUGCCCGGUAAGCGGAACAUUGUGGGUUCGAUUCCCAUCCCUGGACA
rnacentral:tRNA from 1 species